CAAUAGGUAGGCAGCAUUACAUUGUAUGAAAAAUAAACCAAAACAUGCAUUCAAUACACACUGACAUCAGAAUUCCAUUUUAAUCAACAGUACAGGUUAUGGAGCUUUUAACCCAAUUUAGGACUACAAUCAUUUUUUAAAGUAUUCUGGUUCACUAUACUUCAAGCAUUUAUUCAGAUUUUCAAUUUUUCCUCUCACCUGCAAUUGCCAAGACUUAACCUAAGUGUCAGUAAGCAAAGUAAAACCAUAAUCCAAAUGGGAUAAACAUUAUUUCCUCCAAACUCGGGUUCCGUGGUCAGUGGAGAAGCGGGUAUUCUUUUAAUGUGGAGGAGGUAUUGUCAAGGCAGUCUGCAUGGUGACUGGGAACUCCUCAGCGCAUGACCACAUUUUCUGAAGUCAUCAGGGACCAGAGGUAACACUUGCAGGGUGGAAGACUGGCCUUCAACACGGGCGUGUCCAAAAUACUGCAAGUUACAUGCUAUUCUCUCAAGAAUAAAACCUUUGACCCAGCUGUGGUUUGGUCAGGGUUAGUUUGUUCCCCUGGUAGUUUCAACCCUCAAAUGUUGUGCCGUGCGUCACCACUUGAAUCAACUCUCCUGUGACCUUAACAGAUCUGCUGCAUUUGACAGCACCUAUGAUGCACUUCUACCCCCUCUUAAUGAAAAACUACAUGUUAAAAGCACCCAUAUCGGAGAUGGAAAGCCCUAGGAGGAGGCCAGAUAGGACAGGAGGUUCGCUGAACCUACAGAAUCCAUUAACUGCUUAAAAAAC
rnacentral:lncRNA from 1 species